GCCAGCCUGGCAUAGAGGUUUCAAUAUUGGACUGUGACUCUGGAGACCAGGGUUCAAUUCCCUGCUUGGCC